ACUGUUUUGGCAGAUAAGUGCGAUGGAUUUAGAAUCUAUAAAUGUAACUUGAAUUACAAAUAGUA
rnacentral:tRNA from 1 species